rnacentral:rRNA from 1 species
UCUGGUAGCAAUAGCGAGUGGGAACCACCUGAAACCAUUUCGAACUCAGUAGUGAAACGACUCAGCGCCGAUGAUAGUGUGGGAGAUCCCAUGUGAAAGUAGGACACUGCCAGGC